rnacentral:lncRNA from 1 species
AGCGAGAAAGAGGUUGUUGACAUGGCAGAGCGGUCGGAGUUGGCUGGCGUGGGAGAUGGAGAGGAGAUUAUGGAGGGAACGGUAAUCCCUCCUGAAGAGAAAGAGGAUACUGAUGAGCUAAAGGAGAAGGAAAUUGAAGAUAAGGAUGCGACUGAUAUGGUGGAGGAAAACGGUGUUCCGAGUGAGAAAGAGGUUGUUGGCAUGGCAGAGCAGGCGGAGUUGGCUGGCGUGGGAGAUGGAGUGGAGAUUAUGGAGGGAACGGUAAUCACUGUUGAAGAGAAAGAGGAGACUGAUAAGCUGAAGGCGAGGGAAAUUGAAGAUAAGGAGGCGACUGAUAUGGUGGAUGAAAAUGGUGUUCCGAGCGAGAAAGAGGUUGUUGACGCGGCAGAGCAGGCGGACAUGGCUGUUACGGCAGAUAGAGGGGAGAUGAUGGAGG